rnacentral:lncRNA from 1 species
AUCAGGGGCUACCGCCUCUGGGGCUCCCUGCCGAAGUUUCCUUGUUGGUAUCGCGUAUAAUAUGUGCUUUCUAUGUAUAAGCUUUUUAAAAAGAUUUAUUUAUGUAUUUUAGAGAACAAGCACAAGUGGGAACGGCAGAGGGAGAGAAUCGCAAGCAGACGCUGCCCUGACACGGAGCCCGACGUGGGGCUUGAGCGAAACAACCCUGAGAUCAUGACCUGAGAUCAUGACCUGAGCUGAAACGAAGAGUCGGGGCUAAUCGACUGUGCCAUCCAGGCGCCCCUAUAUAUAAACAUCAGGAUGAACCUUAAAUGGUUCACUAGGAAAACCCAUGGGAACACAUCUAAGCCUCAGCAUCAAUCAUUAUCGAUCAGCGCAGUCAUUCUUAGCAGUCAGGGGCAAAGGCAGGGUGUGCACUCAGCUGAAGCUUGGGGCCUCCCAGUGGCAGCUUCCUGAUGCCAAGUGGGGUUGCUGACAGUUGCCCUACUGAGGGUGUACGGAUCACAAGGGAGGAGGGGUUUGGGAAAGCUGGGGCCCGGAGGGUCCCGAAUUGGACAGCGCUCUCCUCUUGCUCAGCCUGGGGCUGUCUUCAAGCCUGGAGAUCUUACCUGCGCAAUGCCUAGGCAGAGGAGAAAAUGGAAUGAACGUGGGCUUCUCUUCAUGCCUCUGUCCUCCCAUCUGUGAAAUGGGGAUGACCAUCGUAAGUUGCCAGCCCUCUUAAGAAUUGUCAUAAGGCUUAAAAGAAGCUCUUGACCUGAAUACCUCCCACCUCAGUGUCUUGCACAUUUUGAAAGAACAAUGAAUGAAUGAUUAAUUGAAGGAUCAAAUGAAUGAAGAAUGAAUACCUUUACUGUUCUAUUUGGAGUUGUCAAAAACAGGAUUCCAACACGCUCAGAACAGACUUCUCGAUGCCCCGCUGUUCUCAUGGGUGAGGCGGUGUUACUUUCAUGUCUGUGUAAGAAGAAACUCAAGCUACCUGUCAGAUACUGGCAUGUCCAUCAGGGAUUGGCCACAUAUCCUGCGACGAGUCUCGGCCUGGGGAACGGCACCUCACAGGAGGUGAGUCAAGAUAAAAAAAGAAUGACCCUGCUACAUACAACUUACUAUUCGGGAUCAAGGGGUAGGGCGCUGACCGAGAGUGUCUGGGGCACGGAGUACAUAGGUUUCUUUCAUUGUUACGAACAGAAUGACCUUGGACACCUCAGUUACCCUCACUCAACCUCAAUUUUCCAAUCUGUAGAAUGGGAACAAUGAAACCGCAUCAGGUUGUGAAGAAGACUACGUAAGGUCAAGUGUCUGAAACAUAGUAACUUGUCAGCUAUUUUUAUAAUAAAAUAAAUCCUUCAUUUCUCA